rfam:Bacteria symbiont BFo2 of Frankliniella occidentalis strain BFo2 contig161, whole genome shotgun sequence.
AACUAUGAUAACUCUGUAGGUAUUGAUUCGAUUAAGACGAAUAUCUGAACUGAUUAUGAAAGCCCUUUUACGAGUGAUUAGCCUUAUUCUCAUUAGCGUGGUGGUGAUUAUUCUCCCAUCCUGCGGGGCUACGUUCGGAAGAGAAAAGGCUUAAAAAUCAAGUCGUAAUCUAAAGAAAACCCCCGCACUUAAAAGUUCGGGGGUUUUUUUUUGGUCCAAACACAACAAAAUAAUAAAAUAUGAGGCAACAGAGUUUUUAGCAUAAAAUUCUGUAUAACCCAAAAAAG